rnacentral:rRNA from 1 species
UACAGAGGUCCCAAGCGUUGUUCGGAUUCAUUGGGCGUAAAGCGCGUGUAGGCGGCUCGAUAAGUCUGCUGUGAAAGUCCAAGGCUCAACCUUGGGAUGCCGGUGGAUACUGUCGAGCUCGAGUCCGGAAGAGGAGUGUGGAAUUCCUGGUGUAGCGGCGAAAUGCGCAGAUAUCAGGAGGAACACCAGUGGCGAAGGCGGCACUCUGGGCCGGAACUGACGCUGAGGAGCGAAAGCGUGGGGAGCGAACAGG